UACAGAGGUCUCAAGCGUUGUUCGGAUUCAUUGGGCGUAAAGGGUGCGUAGGUGGCGCCGUAAGUCGGGUGUGAAAUUUCGGAGCUUAACUCCGAAACUGCAUUCGAUACUGCCGUGCUUGAGGACUGGAGAGGAGACUGGAAUUUACGGUGUAGCGUGAAAUGCGUAGAUAUCGUAAGGAAGACCAGUGGCGAAGGCGGGGUCUCUGG
rnacentral:rRNA from 1 species